rnacentral:misc_RNA from 1 species
UUUCCGUAGGUGAACCUGCGGAAGGAUCAUGCAUAAUAAAGUGUCUUAUGGCACUUUUUAAAAAUCCAUAUCCACCUUGUGUGCAAUGUUAGAUCUCGUCAAUCUUGGCGAGAUUUUUAUACAUCAACUCAUUCUUUAACUAAUUUGUCUGAAAAAUAUUAUGAAUACUUAAUUCAAAAUACAACUUUCAACAACGGAUCUCUUGGCUCUC